rnacentral:rRNA from 1 species
UACGUAGGGUGCGAGCGUUGUCCGGAAUUAUUGGGCGUAAAAGGGCUCGUAGGCGGUUUGUCGCGUCGGGAGUGAAAACUCAGGGCUUAACCCUGAGCCUGCUUCCGAUACGGGCAGACUAGAGGUAUGCAGGGGAGAACGGAAUUCCUGGGUGUAGCGGUGAAAUGCGCAGAUAUCAGGAGGAACACCGGUGGCGAAGGCGGUUCUCUGGGCAUUACCUGACGCUGAGGAGCGAAAGUGUGGGGAGCGAACAGG